GGGAGUAUGCUCAGUGGUAGAGAGUGUGCUUAGAAUGCACAAGGCCCUAGGUUCAAUCCCCAGUACUUCCA
rnacentral:tRNA from 1 species